GUUAUUGCGCGCGACGAUCAAUUGCAUCGUGUCGCUCGCCUGGAAUUCGGGAAUGAGAUCCGGCGAGAUUUCCGCCGU
rnacentral:sRNA from 1 species